rnacentral:pre_miRNA from 1 species
UAAAUACUCCCUCCGUUCCAAAUUACUUGUCGUAGGUAUGGAUGUAUGUAGAUGUAUUUUAGUUCUAGAUAUAUCCAUUUCUGCGACGAGUAAUUUGAAACGGAGGGAGUAUAAG